rnacentral:rRNA from 1 species
GGGUCAGUAGGUUGGUCGUGCCACCGGUACGUACUGGUCUCACUGAUUCCUCCUUCCUGAAGAACCGUAAUGCCACUAAUUUGGUGUUGCGGGGAAACAGGACUGUUACUUUGAAAAAAUUAGAGUGUUUAAAGCAAGCUAACGCUUGAAUACAUUAGCAUGGAAUAAUGAAAUAGGACGAUCGAUCCUAUUUUGUUGGUUUCUAGGAUUGACGUA